GAAGGCUGAGGGGAGACACUGCAGCCACCGCCAGGACAAGCAGCAUGUGAAGACUCUGAAAUUUGCCAGAGGAGUGAGAAGAGGUCAUCUGGGAGAAAUAACAUUAUGUAAACCACUGCUAUGGCACAUGGCUUAGUUUUCAACAUACUGAUAAGUAACAGAUGAAGAUCUACCGCUCUUGGCUACAUACUCAAAGGUUGCUUAAUCAAACCAGAAGGAAAAUUGCUCACCUGUGUUCAUCACAGCUUUAUUCAUAAUAGUCAGAAGCUGGAAACAACCUGGAAGCCCCUCAACUGAAGAAUGGAAAAAGAAAAUGAGGAGCUCACAGAGACUGAACUGACAACCCGGGAGCCUGUAUGAAACGAACCUAGACCCUCUCCCAUAUAUGUUACAUUUGUGUAGUUUAUCUUCUUGAAGGACACCUAAAAGUGGGAGCGUGUACCAUCUCUGACUCUUUUUUUGGCUUUGGGGACCCUAUUCCUUAU